GACAGAGGAUGCAAGCGUUAUCCGGAAUGAUUGGGCGUAAAGCGUCUGUAGGUGGCUUUUUAAGUCCGCCGUCAAAUCCCAGGGCUCAACCCUGGACAGGCGGUGGAAUACCAAGCUGGAGUACGGUAGGGGCAGAGGGUAUUUCCGGUGGAGCGGUGAAAUGCGUAGAGAUCGGAAAGAACACCAACGGCGAAAGCACUCUGCGCUGGACCGACACUGACACUGAGAGACGAAAGCUAGGGGAGCGAAAUGGGAUUAG
rnacentral:rRNA from 1 species